UGUAAAUUGAUUUAUAUUUCCUUUUUGAGUAAUGUUAACAAAAAACUAGCUCUUUUGCCUAUAACCCUCUAAGAUUAACACACCCUGUUAUGCCGUUUUCUAGAUGUAGUUACUUCUUUUUUAUUUAACCGAGCUGAAUUUCUCAAUAUUAAAUCCUUAAAAUCUGGCAAAGAUGAAAAAAAUAUUAAUGUAUAGUAAAGGUAAAUAAGUUGCUCUGGAUAAAUUGGCUGAACACUGGAAGUCCGAGGCUAUAGGUUUCAAGCUGUCUAUAAUUUCGAUUCGUCCAAUCUGUGUUAAAAACUUGGUUUUAGUCGUUCACUGUUGUUUGCGUUGUCUGUCGGAGACCCUUUUCGUCCUCUUCAACAGGUAGCUGGCUUUCGUAAAAUUUUCGUAACUCUUGUUGUCGCUUUAGGUCUUCAAACCUUUCUUUUUUAAUUCUUUUCCUUUCAUCAUCUUUUUGAACUCCCGCCGACAUUUUCUAUACUUACAUUAGCUAUGGUGCAUAUUUUCUUUAAUAUAAGUAAAUAUUACCUCUCGUUCAAUAAUCUGAUUAUUAUGUACGAAAUAAACCAUGU